CCUACGGGAGGCUGCAGUCGAGAAUCAUUCUCAAUGGGGGAAACCCUGAUGGUGCGACGCCGCGUGGGGGAAUGAAGGUCUUCGGAUUGUAAACCCCUGUUAUGUGGGAGCAAAUUAAAAAGCUAGUACCACAAGAGGAAGAGACGGCUAACUCUGUGCCAGCAGCCGCGGUAAUACAGAGGUCUCAAGCGUUGUUCGGAAGCACUGGGCGUAAAGCGUGCGUAGGCGGUUUCGUAAGUCCGGUGUGAAAGGUGCGGGCUCAACCCGCGGACGGCACAUGCUACUGCGAGACUAGAGAGAUGGAGGGGGAGCCGGAAUUCUCGGUGUAGCAGUGAAAUGCGUAGAGAUC
rnacentral:rRNA from 1 species